rnacentral:tRNA from 1 species
GCGAGGUUGGCGAAAUUGGUAACCGCAUCGCACUUAAAAUGCGCCGCCUAAUGGCUUAUGGGUUCGAAUCCCAUACCUCGCACCA